CCCUUCUGUUCCUCUCAGGUUUGAGGGGAAGAGCUGAGGAGGGGGUUUUUUUCUUCAGGAAUCCAAAGAACCAAGAGAAGAAAACACCAAAUGUGUUAAUAUGCUUAUCCACCCAUAAGUGUUGUCGAAAACUGGGACCAUGUUCAUAAUGACAAAAAGCAGUCUUCUGUCAAUGGAAAUUUUGUGGCUGAGUCAUUUGUCCUCAUUUUAUAGCUCAUCAGGCCUGAGAAGAACUUCCAGACCCAUCAACUGGAUCCUGGAUGUGCAGCUGAGCCUCUUUCAAAACUGCUGUCACCAUGGACUCCUGCGCAGACCAAACAUCCCUUUUGGAAUUUCAAUCCCCACGACAACAGUACUGUCCAGAGACAGACAUCCCAUCAUGAUGGAGCAAACCAAGGCUCAAGAACCAAACUAAAGCCAUCGGUAAUGUAGAGCCAGACGUUAUACUUAAACAACAAAUAUGCUUUCUCUGGAAUUACAGGUGUGGGUCUUCACCUCACACAACCCCUACGGAAUCACAAGAGGAAAAUACCACUAUUUCUCAGUCAGGCGGAGGACUAAGAAUUCAAGGCCUGGAUCAGCUCAAUUACUUGCCUACUCUGGACCUGAGCAGCUGUGGAUAAAAACAACUGGAGAAAAUCACUCAACAGACAGACUCAAUUUACUUUAAAAUAUGUGAUUUCAAACCUCAAAUGUCCAACUCCUGGCAACUGCACUAUAUUCCCUAAUAAACUUGCUUUCCCAAACUCCAAAACAGAAAUUCACUACUGCUAUCUCUCUCCCCAAACUGGUUUAUUUCUCUGCCUUAAUAUCAUUUUACUUUAUCUCACGCUUCAUUGAAAACCUAAAUACUACUAGAUGAGGACUCCUUUCUCUCUCCACCACCAACUCAGGAAACUUCCCUCCAACUGCCAGUCUGUUAUCCUAUCUCCCCUUUAACUGAGAAAUUGUCCCCCUUCUUAUUAAAGGCCAAUUCUUCCCAAUGAUUUCUUAAAAAUUUCCUGUGCUGCACUGUCAACCCCUCUCUCAAGAAGACUAUCCUUUGUAGAAUAUAAAUGUUUACAGACGUGCCAUCCUUAAACACACACACACACACACCCCUACCUCAAAUCUACAUUUUCUGCUAGUUAUCACCUUUUUUCUCUCCUUCACAGGCAAAAUUCACCAAUGAGUACUGUACCAUAUCUACUUCCUCGUGUCCCAUUCACCACUCCAGCCACUUCUGUUUGGCUUCCAACUUUUCUCCUGCACUCAAACUGGUCCUAUAAUUAUUAGCAAUGAACUCCAUGGUGCCAAGUGGAGUGGCCAUGCCUCAGGAUGGGGAAAAAUAAGAGACGACAAACACUGUAAGUAAGUUAUACAGUGUAUUAGAAGGUGGGAGGUACUAUGAGAAAACCAGAAGUCUCCAGAAAAGGAAGUUGACACAGGCAAAAUACAGGUUCUGUUAACAUUUACUUUAUGUACACUUAUAGAAGUUACAUAUAUAUAGCAAUCAAGCACGAGCUCCCAACUAAUCGAUUUUGCAUUCAACUGCCUAAAGUAUGAAGAGUGAAAACAAAUGUUGGCAAUCUGAUAUGACAACAUUUAUUUGAGUAACACCUUCUUAAAGAUCUGAGAGGUGGUGUACUUACUUUGGAAUUUAUAAUCUUUUCAGUCCUUGUUUCACCCAAGACUAGAAUAUAGGAAGAAUGUGGAGUACCCCCAUCAGUAACAUUGAUU
rnacentral:lncRNA from 1 species